GGGCUCCGCAGGCGGUUUCUUAAGUCUGAUGUGAAAGCCCCCGGCUCAACCGGGGAGGGUCAUUGGAAACUGGGAAACUUGAGUGCAGAAGAGGAGAGUGGAAUUCCACGUGUAGCGGUGAAAUGCGUAGAGAUGUGGAGGAACACCAGUGGCGAAGGCGACUCUCUGGUCUGUAACUGACGCUGAGGAGCGAAAGCGUGGGGAGCGAACAGGAUUAGAUACCCUGGUAGUCCACGCCGUAAACGAUGAGUGCUAAGUGUUAGGGGGUUUCCGCCCCUUAGUGCUGCAGCUAACGCAUUAAGCACUCCGCCUGGGGAGUACGGUCGCAAGACUGAAACUCAAAGGAAUUGACGGGGGCCCGCACAAGCGGUGGAGCAUGUGGUUUAAUUCGAAGCAACGCGAAGAACCUUACCAGGUCUUGACAUCCUCUGAGAACCCUAGAGAUAGGGCUUUCCCUUCGGGGACAGAGUGACAGGUGGUGCAUGGUUGUCGUCAGCUCGUGUCGUGAGAUGUUGGGUUAAGUCCCGCAACGAGCGCAACCCUUGAUCUUAGUUGCCAGCAUUUAGUUGGGCACUCUAAGGUGACUGCCGGUGACAAACCGGAGGAAGGUGGGGAUGACGUCAAAUCAUCAUGCCCCUUAUGACCUGGGCUACACACGUGCUACAAUGGACAGAACAAAGGGCUGCAAGACCGCAAGGUUUAGCCAAUCCCAUAAAUCUGUUCUCAGUUCGGAUCGCAGUCUGCAACUCGACUGCGUGAAGCUGGAAUCGCUAGUAAUCGCGGAUCAGCAUGCC
rnacentral:rRNA from 1 species